CCUACGGGAGGCAGCAGUGAGGAAUAUUGGUCAAUGGACGAGCGCCUGAACCAGCCAAGUCGCGUGAAGGAUGACUGCCCUAUGGGUUGUAAACCUCUUUUAUAUGGGAAUCAAUUGCUCUACGUGUGGGAUUUUGUAUGUACCAUACGAAUAAGGAUCCGCUAACACCGUGCCAGCAGCAGCGGUAAGACGGAGGAUCCGAGCGUUAUGAGGAUUUAUUGGGGGUAAAGGGAGCGUAGGUGGAUUAUGAAGUCAGUCGUGAAAGUUUGCGGCUCAACCGUAAAAUUGGAGUUGAAACUGGCAGUCUUGAGUACGGUAGAGGUGGGCGGAAUUCGUGGUGUAGCAGUGAAAUGCGUAGAUAUCACGAAGAACUCUGAUUGCGAAGGCAGCUCACUGGACUGCAACUGACACUGAGGCGCGAAAGUGUGGGGAUCAAACAGGAUUAGAUACCCUUGUAGUC
rnacentral:rRNA from 1 species